rnacentral:rRNA from 1 species
GAUGAACGCUGGCGGCGUGCUUAACACAUGCAAGUCGAACGGAAAGGCCCCUGCUUGCAGGGGUACUCGAGUGGCGAACGGGUGAGUAACACGUGGGUGAUCUGCCCUGCACUUCGGGAUAAGCCUGGGAAACUGGGUCUAAUACCUGAUAGGACGAUGGUUUGGAUGCCAUUGUGGAAAGUUUUUCGGUGUGGGAUGAGCUCGCGGCCUAUCAGCUUGGUGGUGGGGUGAUGGUCUACCAAGGCGUCGACGGGUAGCCGGCCUGCGAGGGUGUACGGCCACAUUGGGACGGGGAUACGGCCCAGACUCCUACGGGAGGCAGCAGUGGGGAAUAUUGCACAAUGGGCGCAAGCCUGAUGCAGCGACGCCGCGUGGGGGAUGACGGCCUUCGGGUUGUAAACUCCUUUCGCUAGGGACGAAGCGCAAGUGACGGUACCUGGAGAAGAAGCACCGGCUAACUACGUG